rnacentral:rRNA from 1 species
GACGAACGCUGGCGGCGUGCUUAACACAUGCCAGUCGAACGGAAAGGCCCUGCUUGCAGGGUACUCGAGUGGCGAACGGGUGAGUAACACGUGGGUGAUCUGCCCUGCACUUCGGGAUAAGCCUGGGAAACUGGGUCUAAUACCGGAUAGGAGCCAUUUUUAGUGUGAUGGUUGGAAAGUUUUUUCGGUGUAGGAUGAGCUCGCGGCCUAUCAGCUUGUUGGUGGGGUAAUGGCCUACCAAGGCGGCGACGGGUAGCCGGCCUGCGAGGGUGGACGGCCACAUUGGGACUGAGAUACGGCCCAGACUCCUACGGGAGGCAGCAGUGGGGAAUAUUGCACAAUGGGCGCAAGCCUGAUGCAGCGACGCCGCGUGGGGGAUGACGGCCUUCGGGUUGUAAACUCCUUUCGCUAGGGACGAAGCUUUUUGUGACGGUACCUAGAUAAGAAGCACCGGCUAACUACGUG